rnacentral:rRNA from 1 species
UACAGAGGGUGCGAGCGUUGUUCGGAAUUACUGGGCGUAAAGCGCGCGCAGGCGGCUUUUUAAGUCCAUCGGUGAAAUGCCGGGGCUCAACCCCGUGCCUGCCGAGGAUACUGGAAGGCUGGAGACACGUAGAGGCAAGCGGAAUUCCGGGUGUAGCGGUGGAAUGCGUAGAGAUCCGGAAGAACACCGGAGGCGAAGGCGGCUUGCUGGGCGUGAUCUGACGCUGAGGCGCGAAAGCGUGGGGAGCGAACAGG